GCGUUUUGCACGUAUAAAAAUAAAAUCUGAAGCCAUGUUUGUAUUUUCAUAGCGAAGAAAAAAAGAAAUACGGUGGAAUAAGAAAGUGUUGAACGAGAGCUAUCGGGCUUCAUCAACAGUAAAGCGUCCAGAGGAGAAUGGCUUUCUCCGCUGUUACUCCUGGCCUGAGAUUUCAGAGCACAUCAAUCAAAAACUCGUCGCGUGCAGAUUCGACACUGAUUCCUCCUCCUUGUGAGCAAGUCAUUGCAAUUCUGAACAUUGGAAACACAUUUCAAAGCGAAAGAGGGCAAACUUUGCAAGAUACUGCCCAUACUAUGACAGUUGAGGAUGAGAAAAUAUCUUAAUGCAAACAUGCCUUCAAAGCAGGCAUCUUCGCCAGUUUCUUCGAAUGCAGAUAUGGAAGAUGUGGAUAACUACAAUUGCAGCCGAUUUGGGAACCUGAGAGGACUUCGCAAAACCCUAAUAAAUUAUUUGGAAAUAUAAAAACUAGAGAUUUAAAAAGACUAAAACAAAAUGGAUUUUUGAUAUUGCCCUACGUUUGUGUGGAUUCAAUGUAGCGGAAUAAAUAUAGCAUAGUACAUGGAUUGAAACUAAAUAAAUAAAUAAACACA